UUACGUUUGGUGUUGAUUCACUACUAGCUGUUUACAGUUCUGACCUGUAGUUUCAUGAGACUAGUUUUGUUGUAGAUCUACAGCGUGUACAGAGCUGAUCUAAGUGCACGUUGCUAUUUGAAAAAGUGGUUUAGCAGACCCUCUGUCAGCACCAGAUAUUUCGAAAUGGACGUAUCGGAGAGAACACCGCGCAAAAGUGAGAGUGACCGUCCCCGCCUUCAGGAGCGCGGCGUUGCAGGGCUGAGAAAUUUAUUGUCGAAGAACGCUAAUCGCCCCAAGAAACAAGCGUCAGAUGAUAAUGAAACAGAAGAUAUCCUCCAGAAAAUGGCAAAGAAGAACGCAGAGAUUCAACGGAAAUUCGAUAUCGCUCAACGAGAUCGUGAAGAAGCUGCUGCGGUGGGUGCCUCAUUCCGUUCUUCCCAAUGUAGAACGCAGGCCUCCAGACUCAACGGUUCUUACGGCGCUAUGUGUGCGCAAAGUCAGAACAAGCCCGAAACACAUUCAUCUGAGCAAAAUUCUGCCAGUGUGAAGCACGCCAGAAUAAUGUCCCCGCCAUCCAGUCAAAUAUCUGGUAUGUCCUGUAGACGAAUCCAGUCUGCCGGGAGCGCUUGUGGUCCUCUUCCGCCAAAAGGACGAGCCAGGAUCCGACCACAGUCUUCCCACAUGGCUGUCGUUGGUAAUGUCGGAGCAUCAACUGGGUCACAGGCAUCAAGUCAAACUUCUACCAUAUCCUCGAUACAACUCCAGUCUGCGGGGAAUGCUCCUUGUCGUCUCCCGUCAAAAGGACGCGGAAGAGUCCGAGCACAGCCUCCAAGCAUGGCUGGUGCUGGAAAUGUUAGAGCAUCAACAGGGCCGCCUACUACCGCACAUGGACGGAUGACGUUGACUCC